rnacentral:lncRNA from 1 species
AAAAAGAUAAACAUGUGGACAUAAUUCAGGACUUGAAGUUUUUCAAGGCUCUGGCUUCUCCAAAGGUAUCUAAUCUUCCUAGACAACCUUUGGAAAGCAUUGUGUCAGGAAGCAGAGUGGCUGGUGCAGUAUUUGGGCAUCUUCCUAUAUAUGAGGUAAUCACAAGUGCUUCCCACCUUUUGCUGUGGUGUUCAAGCAGCAGAAGUCCUUAGCACUUGUAAAUUAUUAACAUCACGUACUCUGUUGUUAACUGUUUCUCAAUUUAAUUUUCUCACAUGGUCUGACUUACUAUCAACCCAACUCUGUUCUCCAUUUGGUGGAAGCUUGAGAAGCCAGCUGAAGAAAGCAUCCUUCAGAAUCCUCAGUGGAACAAACCUGAGAUGUCUACUCUAACUGAAUUGACAAUGGAGACAGAGCUCAGUGCAGAACAGAAUCAAGACAAGUAAACAUUAUGUUCAUCUUAAGACAAGUACUUUAGCAGAUUCCUUGAGCAUAUAGAAAUAGAAUCUUUACAUCCAUUCCAGUUCUUCAAGCAGCAAAAAAAAUUCUAACAUGAUUAUAACAAGACAUUUACAGAAAAGCCCAUCUCACUCCACUUCUUGAUAGAUAAGAAUGAAAAGCACCUUACUGUGAUUGACUGUUUUUAAAGAUUCAGGGCCAUAAAUCUGCAAAAAUACUUCCAUUGAUGACAUGCAGAUGUCUCUGGAGACUAAGAAAUGCACUAAUUCUGGCUAGGAUUAAGCUAGUUUUCUUCAUAGCAUUCCAUAUGCUACUCUGUUUUGAUUUGUGAUUAAAAAAGCAUGAUAACAGAACUGUGUUGUGGCUAUUGCUAAGAGUUGCCUGUGUCAUCAAGUUGUUUCUUUUCCCCACUCCCAGUGUACAAGAUGGGAGAGACCAUAUCUGCUAUGGCUUACAUGAACAGACCAGAAAUAUCCCACAUCAUAUAAUGUCCUGCUCAGCAAUAAAAGACUGGGAAAAGGAAGAGAAAGGUGAGGU